GAAAUGCGAUAAGUAGUGUGAAUUGCAGAAUUCAGUGAAUCAUCGAAUCUUUGAACGCACAUUGCGCCCCUCGGUAUUCCGUGGGGCAUGCCUGUUCGAGCGUCAUCUACACCCUCAAGCUCUGCUUGGUUUUGGGCGUCUGUCCCGCCUCCUUCGCGCGCGGACUCGCCCCAAAUCCAUUGGCGGCGGCCCUUGCCUCCCUCUCGCGCAGCACAUUGCGCUUCUCGAGGCGCGGCGGACCGCGUCCAGCAAGCAACCGUCACACCGUCUUUGACCUCGGAUCAGGUAGGGAUACCCGCUGAACUUAAGC
rnacentral:misc_RNA from 1 species